rnacentral:rRNA from 1 species
AUGUCCACCACCACCAGGAGCAGCACAGACACAGACCGCCUCCGCGCGCUCAAGGCUGGCGUCAAAGGCCUCGUCGACGCGGGCGUCACCGCCGUCCCCGCCAUCUUCCACCACCCGCCCGACAACACACCAACCCAUCACUUGACGAUCCCGGUGCUGAACCACGGCGUGCCGGAGGAGGCCAUGUCCGAGGUGCUCGCGGCGGUGCGGCGCUUCAACGAGGAGCCGGCGGAGGCCAGGGCGCCGUACUACACCCGGGACCACCGCCGACGCGUCCGGUUCAACUCCAACUUCGACCUGUUCCAGUCGCCGGCAGCCAACUGGCGCGACACCCUGCUGCUGGAGAUGGCGCCGGAGCCGCCGUCGCCCGAGCAGAUCCCGUCGCGACCACCUGCAGCUCAUGUCCAACGACAGUGCUACGGCCCAUCGUCGGCGCGGUACAGGAGCACGACGGUGGAGGAGCUGCUGCGGGAGUACAGGGCCAAGGGCCUCGACGGCACCUCUGCGCUCCACCACUUCAGGCUCUGA